ACCCAACUAGCUCAGUCGUUAGAGCAUGGGACUCUUAAUUCCAGGGUGGUGGAUUUCGGCCCCAUGUUGAGCA
rnacentral:tRNA from 1 species